GACAGAGGUGCCAAGCGUUAGGCGGAAUCACUGGGCUUAAAGCGUGUGUAGGUGGAUGCCUAAGUGCCUUGUGAAAUCCCACGGCUCAACCGUGGAAUUGCUCGGCAUACUGGGUGUCUUGAGCCACUUAGGGGUCGCUGGAACAAACGGUGGAGCGGUGAAAUGCGUAGAUAUCAGGAGGAACACCCGUAGCGAAGGCGGCACUCUGGGCCGAUACUGACACUGAGGAGCGAAAGCGUGGGGAGCGAACAGG
rnacentral:rRNA from 1 species